GCCAGUCUAGUGCAAUGGUUUGAAUGUUGGACUACAACUCUGCAAACCAGGGUUGGAAUCCCUGCUCAGCCG